CAGUGAGUGACUCCAGACAGACUCUGCAGUUGCAGGUGAAUCAUCAUGAACAAGAGCCUGUAAAGCCAUCAAUACCAGCAUGGAACCAGGUGAAAACAUGUAAAGUGAACAUCACCAUAGACUCAGAAGAAACUCCAAAGUUUUUUAGAGUUGGG